rnacentral:tRNA from 8 species
GGGCGCGUAGCUCAACUGGCAGAGCAACUGACUCUUAAUCAGUAGGUUGAAGGUUCGAUUCCUUCCGCGCUCACCA